UAUCAGACCCAGAAGAAAAACAUCCAGUGUUAAAUGAAUAUUAAUCUUUAAAAUUAUUGGCAUCCAUGUAUACAUGAAUCCAUUUUCAAAGCUUUUUAACAUGUCAACCACAUAGAGUAAAUGUUCCUGCCAUAGAUGUGGGCAAAACGUCAGGAGAGAAUACUUCUAGAACAUGGCCAUACAGCCCGGAAAACACACAACAACCCAGAGAAAUCUUUCUUUUUCAGUGAGGAGAGAGAAGGGCAUUUCCGCCUCCUGAUGUCACUGGCAUUCCACCACAGAAGCGCCCAGCAUCAUCAAACCAGUUUAAAUGUACCCAAAGAUGGUUAAGAGUCUGGAAAUGAAACCCCAUGAACAACAACUGAGAGAGCUGAGCAUGCUUAGCCUACAGAGGAGAAGAUCCAGAGUGAGUAUGAUUUUCACAUAUUUGAAGGGCUAUUAUGUAGAUGAAACAAGGUUAUUUUCUGCUGGUAUCAAAAACAACAAAUUGAGAUGACAAGAAAAAGAGUUUCAACCAAACCUUUGUAUGGAGUAGACUAGCUCUGAAGGGGCGUCCAAGAUGCUCUUUACUAUUAUAAUUAUGGAUUAAAUCAAGGGGGAUGCCAUCCUACCCUUUCAGAGAGUCCCUGGGAGAAGCCACCAUUAUGGGCCUCCUGAGGUUAUAGUGAAGGGCUUCGCAGUGCCAUGCUGCUUCCUGCCUCCUCCUCUUUCCUCCUCCUGAGAAAUACAGGGAAAUUAAAGUUUUGAGCUGUCAGAAACAGCAGCAGCAGCAGUAGCUUCCUCCCAGGUCACAGACACCCACCAUCUCCAUUGCUGUUCAGAAUCUUUUUCUUGCCACCUAAACUUUCCCCCUUCUGCUUUCUUUGCUUUCAAAAUCCCAUUUCCCUCCCACCACUCAAAGGGUGCUUUGAUUGUGUUUUUCCUGCAUGGCAGAAGGGGGUGGAUUGAAUGGCUUCUUGGGUUUCUGCUAUUAUUAUUAUUAUUAUUAUUAUUAUUAUUAUUAUUAUUAUUAUUAUUAUUAUUAUUUUAUUUUAGACACAGCAAACAAGAUAGAUAUGCUGGAUUUCGUUUUACAAAAUCACAAGUUGAACACUUCCCGAGUGUCUAGGACUGUGUGAUAUUUUCGGAUGAUGCGUACAGAUCCCAGUAGGGUGGCCUUUUGCAGUUGGCAGAUCAUGAUUUUG
rnacentral:lncRNA from 1 species